GGAAUGCUUUACACAUGCAAGUCGAGCGGCAGCGCGGGGCAACCUGGCGGCGAGCGGCGAACGGGUGAGUAAUGCAUCGGAACAUGUCCAUUCGUGGGGGAUAGCCCGGCGAAAGCCGGAUUAAUACCGCAUACGCCCGAGAGGGGAAAGCAGGGGACCGCAAGGCCUUGCGCGAUUGGGUUGGCCGAUGUCCGAUUAGCUUGUUGGUGAGGUAAAGGCUUACCAAGGCGAUGAUCGGUAGCUGGUCUGAGAGGAUGAUCAGCCACACUGGGACUGAGACACGGCCCAGACUCCUACGGGAGGCAGCAGUGGGGAAUUUUGGACAAUGGGGGCAACCCUGAUCCAGCCAUUCCGCGUGAGUGAAGAAGGCCUUCGGGUUGUAAAGCUCUUUUGUCCGGAGCGAAACGGGCGGUCCUAAUACGAUCGUCUACUGACGGUACCGGAAGAAUAAGCACCGGCUAACUACGUGCCAGCAGCCGCGGUAAUACGUAGGGUGCGAGCGUUAAUCGGAAUUACUGGGCGUAAAGCGUGCGCAGGCGGUUUUGUAAGCCAGAUGUGAAAUCCCCGGGCUUAACCUGGGAAUGGCAUUUGGGACUGCAAGGCUGGAGUAUGGCAGAGGGGGCUAGAAUUCCUGGUGUAGCAGUGAAAUGCGUAGAUAUCAGGAGGAAUACCGAUGGCGAAGGCAGGCCCCUGGGUUAAUACUGACGCUCAUGCACGAAAGCGUGGGGAGCAAACAGGAUUAGAUACCCUGGUAGUCCACGCCCUAAACGAUGUCGACUGGUUGUUGGGGGUUUGACACUCUCAGUAACGAAGCUAACGCGUGAAGUCGACCGCCUGGGGAGUACGGC
rnacentral:rRNA from 1 species